rnacentral:rRNA from 1 species
GUUAGUGCAAUGGCAUAAGCCAGCUUGACUGCGAGCGUGACGGCGCGAGCAGGUGCGAAAGCAGGUCAUAGUGAUCCGGUGGUUCUGAAUGGAAGGGCCAUCGCUCAACGGAUAAAAGGUACUCCGGGGAUAACAGGCUGAUACCGCCCAAGAGUUCAUAUCGACGGCGGUGUUUGGCACCUCGAUGUCGGCUCAUCACAUCCUGGGGCUGAAGUAGGUCCCAAGGGUAUGGCUGUUCGCCAUUUAAAGUGGUACGCGAGCUGGGUUUAGAACGUCGUGAGACAGUUCGGUCCCUAUCUGCCGUGGGCGCUGGAGAACUGAGGGGGGCUGCUCCUAGUACGAGAGGACCGGAGUGGACGCAUCACUGGUGUUCGGGUUGUCAUGCCAAUGGCACUGCCCGGUAGCUAAAUGCGGAAGAGAUAAGUGCUGAAAGCAUCUAAGCACGAAACUUGCCCCGA